UACGGGGGGGGCAAGCGUUGUUCGGAAUUACUGGGCGUAAAGGGCUCGUAGGUGGCCAACUAAGUCGGACGUGGAAUCCCUCGGCUUAACCGGGGAACUGCGUCUGAUACUGGAUGGCUUGAGUUCGGGAGAGGGAUGCGGAAUUCCAGGUGUAGCGGUGAAAUGCGUAGAUAUCUGGAGGAACACCGGUGGCGAAGGCGGCAUCCUGGACCGACACUGACGCUGAGGAGCGAAAGCCAGGGGAGCAAACGGG
rnacentral:rRNA from 1 species